rnacentral:rRNA from 1 species
AGCAGCCGCGGUAAUUCCAGCUCCAAUAGCGUAUAUUUAAGUUGUUGCUGUUGAUUUCUACCUUCUGGAGAAACUUGAUGUCCUUAAUUGGGUGUCUUGCGGAUCCAGGACCUUUACCUGAAAAAAUUAGAGUGUUUAAAGCAGGCAUUUUUGCUCGAAUACAUUAGCAUGGAAUAAAGAAUAGGACGGCAUGGUUCUAUUUUGUUGGUUUCUAGGAUCACCGUAAUGAUUAAUAGGAUAGUUGGGGGGCAUUAGUAUUCAAUUG